rnacentral:misc_RNA from 1 species
GAUGAAGAACGUAGCGAAAUGCGAUACGUAAUGUGAAUUGCAGAAUUCAGUGAAUCAUCGAGUCUUUGAACGCACAUUGCGCCCCCUGGUAUUCCGGGGGGCAUGCCUGUCCGAGCGUCAUUGCUGCCCUCAAGCACGGCUUGUGUGUUGGGCCUCCGUCCUCCUCCCGGGGGACGGGCCCGAAAGGCAGCGGCGGCACCGCGUCCGGUCCUCGAGCGUAUGGGGCUUCGUCACCCGCUCUUGUAGCCCCGGCCGGCGCUUGCCGACACAUCAAUCUUUUUUCCAGGUUGACCUCGGAUCAGGUAGGGAUACCCGCUGAACUUAAGCAUAUCAAUAAGCGGAGGA